UUCAAAAGUAAAAUCUUUAAACAAAAAUAUUUAUUCUACAUAUGAAAAUGUCUUCAUGGGGUGAAGAAAUAUAAAACCAAUGUAAUGGAAAUAUAUAGUAUUUUAUGUCUUAAGUGUGUACCCACAAUGCAUUGUAAUAAUAUAGACAAAACAACCAGUGCUCAUAUUGUAGGGCACAGCAGUUCUCCUGGAGCUGCCCUGUCCAUAAGGUAGGCUGGGGUAGGGUAGGGUAGGCUUAGGUAGGCUAGGGUAGGGUAGGGCAAGGUUAGGUAAGCUAGGCUAGGGUAGGCUUGGGUUAGGUAGGCUUGGGUUAGGUAGGCUAGGGUAGAGUAUGGUUAUGUAGGCUUGGGUAGGGUAGGCUAGGGGUAAGGUUAGGUAAGCUAGGCUAGGCUAGGGUAAGGUUAGGUAGGCUUGGGUAAGGUAGGCUAGGGUAGGGUAAGGUUAAUCUAGGGUUAGGUAGGGUAGGUUAGGCUAGGGUCAGUUACGGUAGGGAAGAGCAGAAUAGGCUAUGGUAGGCUAGGGAAGGAUAGGGUGAGGUAGGGUCAGUUAGGGUGAGGCAGGCUGAGGGAGGGUCAGUUAGGGUGAGUUAGGGUGAGGGAGGGGGAGGGAGGGUCAGUUAGGGUGAGGUAGGGUGAGGGAGGCUGGCCCAUAAAGCCCAGCCUCCUACUUCUGGUCCAGCUUUGCUCCUCAGUAUUCUGCGUACUGCGACUGAAGCGACUGUAAAGAAGUUGUUAACCAAUUAAAUAUUAUUCCACUGAAAUAUCUCACCUUAUGCAUAUAUGUAUGUAUGUAUGUAUGUAUGUAUGUAUGUAUGUAUGUAUGUAUGUAUGUAUGUAUGUAUGUAUGUAUGUAUGUAUGUAUGCAUGUAUGUAUGUAUGUAUGUAUGUAUGCAUGUAUGUAUGUAUGUAUGUAUGUAUGUAUGCAUGCAUGCAUGUGUAUGUAUGUAUGUAUGCAUGCAUGUAUGUAUGUAUGUAUGUAUGUAUGCAUUGUGAUAGUGCAGUUGCUAUGCUGGUUGUGAUAGUGUAGUUGCUAUGCUGGUUGUGAUAGUGUAGUUGCUAUGCUGGUUGUGAUAGUGUAGUUGCUAUGCUGGUUGUGAUAGUGUAGUUGCUAUGCUGGCUGUGAUAGUGUAGUUGCUAUGCUGCUUGUGAUAGUGUAGUUGCUAUGCUGCUUGUGAUAGUGUAGUUGCUCUGCUGCUUGUGAUAGUGUAGUUGCUCUGCUGGUUGUGAUAGUGUAGUUGCUAUGCUGGUUGUGAUAGUGUAGUUGCUAUGCUGGUUGUGAUAGUGUAGUUGCUAUGCUGGUUGUGAUAGUGUAGUUGCUAUGCUGGUUGUGAUAGUGUAGUUGCUAUGCUGGUUGUGAUAGUGUAGUUGCUAUGCUGGUUGUGAUAGUGUAGUUGCUCUGCUGGUUGUGAUAGUGUAGUUGCUCUGCUGGUUGUGAUAGUGUAGUUGCUAUGCUGCUUGUGAUAGUGUAGUUGCUAUGCUGGUUGUGAUAGUGUAGUUGCUCUGCUGGUUGUGAUAGUGUAGUUGCUCUGCUGGUUGUGAUAGUGUAGUUGCUAUGCUGGUUGUGAUAGUGUAGUUGCUAUGCUGGUUGUGAUAGUGUAGUUGCUAUGCUGGUUGUGAUAGUGUAGUUGCUAUGCUGGUUGUGAUAGUGUAGUUGCUAUGCUGGUUGUGAUAGUGUAGUUGCUAUGCUGGUUGUGAUAGUGUAGUUGCUAUGCUGGUUGUGAUAGUGUAGUUGCUAUGCUGGUUGUGGUAGUGUAGUUGUUAUGCUGGUUGUGAUAGUGUAGUUGCUAUGCUGGUUGUGAUAGUGUAGUUGCUAUGCUGGUUGUGAUAGUGUAGUUGCUAUGCUGGUUGUGGUAGUGUAGUUGCUAUGCUGGUUGUGGUAGUGUAGUGUGUACUUACAGGAAUCGAGCGGCUGAGGUAUCGCCCGGAGGCUGCCUUCAGCCCGCUGUAGGGAGCCUGCGGCCCCGGAUCCUUCUUCCCACUGGGCCUCCCAGGGGCGCCAAAGUACUGACCGGGGUCCUUGGGCGGCACUCGGGGGCCCCGGGGGAGGAGGGUGGCCGCGGGGGAGCGAGGAGAGGACGGGGGGUGAAGAGGGCUGUAGGUCUGCCUGGCCUCCUCCACCUCACCGCCGUAGAGGUCGCCCAGGGAGUUGCCUAGCCUGGAGUUAGCCGCAGUGCUGAGGAUCAAUGAAACUGUCAGAACUACGAAUAGCAGAUAGUGCAGAGGUUCUGCACCACGACCUCUACGCUAUGCUACUGCUAUGCUACCAAAGGAGCUGCUCUAAAGGUUCACUCAGGGAUUGAGUCCUCUACUUAGACUAGGACCUGGGGGUGAGUUCCUAAGACUCCUUCACCUCAGGUUAGGGUUAGGGUUAACUCCUUCACCUCAGGUUAGGGUUAACUCCUUCACCUCAGGUUAGGGUUAACUCCUUCACCUCAGGUUAGGGUUAGGGUUAACUCCUUCACCUCAGGUUUCACAAUACCGGCUUCAGCUGUGGUGAAUUCUCCUGCAUAGGUUUUAAACAUAUUGGGUUAGUUUGGGUUAGGGUAACCUAACCCUAGUUUAGAGAGGGUAACCUAACCCUAAACAUAUUGGGUUAGGGUAACCUAACCCUAACCCUAAACAUAUUGGGUUAGGGUAACCUAACCCUAACCCUAACCAUAUUGUUGCGGUCUGAGAAAAGUGGAAAAAAAUAAGACUGGUUCAGCGGCAUAUUCGACGCCUGGGGAAUGCUGGUGGAGCCGUUUGAGUUUUUUGGAAUAUACUGCAAAAGCUUUGGUGUAGUUAGCCUAGCUACACAGCAUGGUUUGUAGCCUAGCUACCAUGCUGUGUAGCCUAGCUACACAGCAUGGUUUGUAGCCUAGCUACCAUGCUGUGUAGCCUAGCUACACAGCAUGGUUGUAUAACUAAUGUUAAUGUUGUUGGAGCAAACCCUUUGUGAUGCACGGAAAUAAACAGUUGAAUUCGAUUUUUGUUUUGAUCCGUGUUCAGGGCUGAUAGGAUAGAAUACCGUACACAUGCAGCGUAUGUAACUAGUUUCAAGUAGUAAAAGUCCUUCCAAUUCAGACAUUAUGUGACUUUAUUUCGUUUUCUAGACGUCUGUCAUACUGCAAGUUAAAUGUAAAGGUGCCCAUCCUGCGUUUGUGGUUCAACGUGGAGCUGGAGCAGGACUUCCACAUCAGCAGAAGAGCCAUGCAUGGACUGCAGAGGUGGUUAUUACUUGUCUCCGGGAUGUGUACAAGUAAUUCUUUAACACCUUAAUUUCAGAACAAAUCUUUUGAUGCUACAAUAUCUUCCUUUUUAGGUAAUUCUAACCCUAACCUAACCACCGACCCGAACCACCUGUGUGUAGAGAAUAUAAAUGAUGGAUUACCUUCUGAGGUUUGAGGUGGACGGACUUCGACUGACCCUCUUAACACCGGAACCUAUAGGGACUCUGACACACACACACACACACACACACACACACACACACACACACACACACACACACACACACACACACACACACACACACACACACACACACACACACACACAACCACACAAGUAAUUUAAAGGUAGGUAUACAAGGUCUUUACCGUGGAAGUGUGUACUUUAAAAACUGUGUAGUUUAACGAGGUUAAUACACUACCUGUGUAGUUUAAAAAGAGUUCAUACAGUGUAGUUUAAAGAGGGGUCUAUACCAGUGUAGCUUAGAGAGGUCUUUAGCUGUGUAGUUUAAAGAGAGGUCUUUACCUGUAGUUUAGAUAGGUCUUUACCUGUAGUUUAGAAGUCUUUAUCUGUAGUUUAGAGAGGUCUUUACCUGUAGUUUAGAGAGGACUUUAGCUGUGUAGUUUAGAGAGGUCUUUACCUGUAGUUUAGAGAGGACUUUAGCUGUGUAGUUUAGAGAGGUCUUUGCCUGUAGUCUAGAGAGGUCUUUACCUGUAGUUUAGAGAGGUCUUUACCUGUAGUUUAGAGAGGUCUUCACCUGUAGUUUAGAGAGGUCUUUACCUGUAGUUUAGAGAGGUCUCUACCUUUAGUUUAGAGAGGUCUUUACCUGUAGUUUAGAUAUCUUUACCUGUAGUUUAGAGAGGUCUAUACCUGUAGUUUAGAGAGGUCUAUAUCUGUAAUUUAGAGAGGUCUUUACCUGUAGUUUAGAGAGGUCUAUACCUGUAGUUUAGAGAGGUCUAUACCUGUAGUUUAGAGAGGUCUUUACCUGUAGUUUAGAGAGGUCUAUAUCUGUAGUUUAGAGAGGUCUUUACCUGUAGUUUAGGGUGCACUCACACUAGGCCAUCUGGCCGUGGCCGUGGCCGUUUUAGCACCUAACCGUGCUCAAAUCUGCCAGUGUGAGUGUGGCCAGUCUGGCCAGGCCGGGCCAAUUUGGCCACUUGGGAGAGGUGUGCUGCUACGGCACGGGCCGCUACGGUACAGAUGCUAAUGAGCCGACGCGCUCACGCACGGCUACGCAACCUGAGCUGGAUGACGUAUAGUCCAUGCGACGACCACGGACAUAAUAAUGGCGACGAGCCUUCUUUCCCAUUAAACGGUAAACAUAUAUCCAAAUAAGCAACAGACUCAGCAAAGUGCGAACUGUGUUCUCUGUGUUGUUUUUCAUUGUUGUUAAAACUCUGACUGGCGGCAGACUUUAUUCUGGUCCAUGCAGCGGACGCUUGGUGAUGACGUAUUACGACGUAUGUACAAGAGCCUACCGUGGCUAGGCCACAGUUGCAACGGCCACGGCCAGAUGGCCUAGUGUGAGUGCACCCUUAGAGAGGUCUUUACCUGUAGUUUAGAGAGGUCUUUACCUGUAGUUUAGAGAGGUCUUUACCUGUAGUUUAGAGAGGUCUUUACCUGUCGUUUAGAGAGGUCUUUACCUGUAGUUUAGAGAGGUCUUUACCUGUCGUUUAGAGAGGUCUUUACCUGUCGUUUAGAGAGGUCUUUACCUGUCGUUUAGAGAGGUCUUUACCUGUCGUUUAGAGAGGUCUUUACCUGUGUUGCUGAGCUGCUGGUCUGUUGUGGAUCUUCAUUUCUAAAGGCCUGAAAUGAGCCCGACAGACAAAGACAUGGUGAGCUUGAUGCUGAUGUCUUCCUCAUGAGCGCUGAAACCCCACCUAGCCUUGAUGCUACCGAGAAUAACUCUCAGAGUCAGCUAGCUCCAGGCUAACUCUGUGAGUCAGCUAGCUCGAGGCUAACUUCCUGCUAGCUCGUACCGUAGGGCUCCAGGUAGGCGCAGUGUCCGACGGCCUUUUAGAGCUCGUAGUUCGUCUCCCUGGGUAACGAUGGCCGCCGUCUCCCUGAGGUCCUUCGGCAAGACACAAGAAAUACACUUUCAAAUACACAGGAAAUACACUUUCAAAUACACAGGAAAUAUGCUUUCAAAUACACGGGAAAUACACUUUCAAAUACACAGGAAAUACACAUUCAAAUACACAGGAAAUAUACAGAGGAAAUACACAGAAAAUACACAUUUAAAUACAAAGGAAAUAUACAGAGGAAAUACACAGAAAUAAACAUUCAAAUAUACAGAGGAAAUACACAGAAAAUACAUUGGAUAUGUAAUACACAUUGGACAUUGGACAUUGCUCUUUUAUAUUUACAUUUAGCAGACCUUUUCUCCAAAGCAACUUACAACCGUUCGUCCACACAUUCCCCCCACCGGCGGAGUCAACCCCACAGGGCGACAGCCAGCUGGUCAUGAGCAGUCAGGGUGAGGCGUCUCGCUCAGGGAUACCUCGACCCUCAGCUAGGAGGAGCCGGGGAUCCAACUAGCAACCUUCUGGGUCGAACGGGUCGAGCGGGUUGACUCAAGUCAACCCGCUCGACCUCCUGAGCAAGGUGACACCAUUUUGUGUGGAUUGUGUGGAUUGUGUGGAUUGUGCGUAUUGUGUGUUUUGUGUGAAUGGUCAUGUAUACUUCUGUAUUGUGUGUUUGAUCAUGUGUUGUGUGUGCCUACCUCAACUGGCCUGUCCGUCAUGCUGUGGGAGGGGCUUAGCGUAAGGCCAUCCAUACAGGAAAUUAGCCUUGACUCCGCCCUCCCCCCUAGAUCUGCUCUCCCGUCCUGCAAGGCCUUCUGGGAACUCUGCUCCCCUAGCGUCCAGAGAGCUGCCUGUUUC
ensembl:lncRNA